rnacentral:lncRNA from 1 species
GCUGUGUUAAGAACUCAAUUUGUCCCAUGGAUGCCCAUUUAUCCAAUGCUGAUAUUACAUUUUCUUCAAUAUAUUUUAUGUACAUUGACAAUGCCUCGUGCCCGUUAACAGGUGCUGCAGUUAUUUUCCUUAACCAUUUGUGUUCUUCAUAUUUUAUGUACAUUGACAACGCCUCGUGCCCGUUAACAGGUGCUGCAGUUAUUUUCCUUAACCAUUUGUGUUCUUCAUAUGAAAUGCCAAUAAAUGAUUUUUUCCCAAUGAGUUCCAUUGUAGAAGUAGGCCAUCC